GUUGGAUAUGGCGAUACGUAUCCUAUAACUGCUCUUGGAAAAGUGGUAGGCUUUCUUUGUACAAUAUGCGGAGUUCUGUGCAUUGCUCUUCCAGUGCCUUCUAUUGUUUCAAAC
rfam:Oikopleura dioica, whole genome shotgun assembly, reference scaffold set, scaffold scaffold_33